UACGGAGGGUGCAAGCAUUAAUCGGAAUGAUUGGGCGUAAAGGGCGCGUAGGCGGGAUAUAAAGUUAGAUGUGAAAUUCUGAAGCUCAACUUCAGAGCUGCAUUUAAAACUCAUAAUCUAGAGGGAUGGCGGAGGAAACGGAAUUCCACGUGUAGCGGUGAAAUGCGUAGAUAUGUGGAAGAACACCUGUGGCGAAAGCGGUUUUCUAGCUAUUACCUGACGCUGAGGCGCGAGAGCAAGGGGAGGCAAACAGGA
rnacentral:rRNA from 1 species